rnacentral:rRNA from 1 species
CACUUAAAAGCUUGGCAACGGGUAGAGGCACUAAAUUCCGGGCGAAAGUCAUAGGAAGGGGUUUUAAGGGUAAAACAAAAAAGGAAAUGGUGACGGCAAGAAAAAAGGAAACCCUAAGGAGGUUCAUGAAGGGAAAGAAAAGGACGAAACGGGUUCCCGGAUUUGGUCGCCGGGGGGGUUCCCCCCCCAAGAGGGGAUACCCCGCGGGAAGGGGAGGGGCAUUUGCUGGAAAUCCCAAUUUAAUGCAGGAAAAUUUCAGCCGAAAAACGGAGCGGAGUUUGGUUUUUGGGGAUUGGUUCCCCCUUGCGAUUGGGAAACCCUUUAACCCGCCCAUGGUGCUGCUGGGGUCGCCUGGAACUAAAGGGCUAUAAGUCUUAGACGUGUCCCCAACCUUCUUCUUCGUUUGGAAGGGAAAAAAUUUCAAAAAUUUAACCAGGGAUUGGAGGUGCGCCCCUUGGCGGAAUUAAUUCUUAUUUUCCAGGACAAAUUCUGGGGACACCUGGGAAACCCGUUUUAGAACCUUGAAGGGCUCUCGGGUUUUGAAAAAAAGGCAAUUUAUUAAAAGCUUGAAUGGGGUUAAAGCUAAGGGAGAAUUAAGGAGGGGUUCAUUGUUGGCGGGGGCCCCGCCCGUAAAUUGGGGGUAGCUUUGGGGUUACCCCCCAGGGGUUAAGCUUAAAUUCCCGGAUUAUUACCAAAAAUUGUUGAAUUCUUUAAAAAAAAAAAAAAAAAACGCCCCCCUCAAAUAAGUUGGAGAAAAUUUAAGGGCGGGAAAAACCGGGGGGUAAAAAAGCAUUUUAGCCCCCCCCCCUUUCCCGCCCUUAAAAUUAUCCCAGCCAAUGGAAAGGCUGUGUUCUUUUUUUUUUUUUUUAAAAAAUUUAAAGGUUUUUUUGGGUAAACCAAAAAUUUUUGCUUUCCCUUCGGGGGACAAUCCGGGGGGGUUUUAUAUCGAAUGGGGGGAAGGGGCCCCCCAAAAAACAAGAAAACUUCGGUUUGUUUCUGUUUCUUUUAUAACCCCCAAAAAAAGGGGGAAAAUGAGGGGGCCCCCCCUUCCCCCAAAAACCAAGGGGCGCCUCGGAGGGGGGGAAAAAACCAUAUAUCCCAUAGGGGUCCCCCCAAAAAACCUUGGGCCCCCUAUAUUCGAGGGGGGGGUUUACUACACCCCCGAGGGGGGCCCUGCA